rnacentral:rRNA from 1 species
UACGGAGGAUCCAAGCGUUAUCCGGAUUCAUUGGGUUUAAAGGGUGCGUAGGCGGAACGAUAAGUCAGUGGUGAAAGCCUGCAGCUUAACUGCAGAACUGCCAUUGAUACUGUCGAUCUUGAGUACAUUUGAUGUGGGCGGAAUGUGUCAUGUAGCGGUGAAAUGCUUAGAUAUGACACAGAACACCGAUUGCGAAGGCAGCUCACAAAACUGUAACUGACGCUGA